rnacentral:lncRNA from 1 species
ACAAUGUAACUUAACUAAAAUGUAACUUUCUAUUUAUAAAAAGGAAAAUGAAAAAUUGUAUAAUCAAGUGAAAGAUCUCCAAGAACAAAACAAAAAUGAGGAGUGAAUGUUCAUGGAAAACCAGAGCUUAUUCAGCAAAUUAGUUUCCUUAAAGAAUAUCAAGAAAGAGAAAACAGGUUUAUUGAAAGACCUCAAAAGACUGAAGCAAGACAAGCAAGCUCUUGAAGCAGACUUGGGAAAAAUGAAGACAGAGAAGAAGCCAGAGAGCAGCAAUAACUGCAAGAUGAAGAAACUCAAAGAUUAUUUUGAAUUCAUGGCAUUGUGUGCGCAGCAGUUUGCAGUCCUCCCAGCCAGACCUGGAUCUUCCAGGGCCUGGUCACCCUUUUUAUCCCUGGGCCUGAAAUGUAACCUCUCAAGUGUUUGACAAAUGAACAGACAACCACCGUGCUAUGUUUGUAGAAGACACGAGGGUGAAUAUGGCAUUCCUCACUGGGAAAAACAAAGGAGGGUAAGCUAAAAAUGCAGAAAAGUUUAAUACUAAAAAAAUUAGAAAUAAACAAGAAGGUGCUAGUAAGGGUUUCAGGGAGAAGAAGCAUUUGAGCUGGGUCCUGGCAGGUGGAGGGCCUCGGGAGGGGAGGAGGGAGGCCGCGCAGCUGUGUCUCAUGGGCGUGUCACUGAGCGCACCUGUCCUGGGCCAGAGAGGGCAGGGCACAGGGCCGGAAAGGUCGAUCGAAGGAGCCCUUGUUUGCCAAAGGAAGGG